AACGCACGAGACCUGCGGACCUGCGGAAGGAUCAUUACCGAGUUAUCCAACUCCCAACCCCUGUGAAUUAUACCUUUAAUUGUUGCUUCGGCGGGACUUCGCGCCCGCCGGGGACCCAAACCUUCUGAAUUUUUUAAUAAGUAUCUUCUGAGUGGUUAAAAAAAAUGAAUCAAAACUUUCAACAACGGAUCUCU
rnacentral:misc_RNA from 1 species